CAGCUGGAAACAAUGAACCGCCAUUCUGCUGUUUUCGUCUGAGACUAGUAGAAACCUGACUGCUGUUGGUGCUGAUUGAAACCUGACUGCAUUUGGUGCUUUGGCUGGUAUCCUGCUGAUCACCAUUUCCAGUAUCCCCUCUGUCUCUCUCAAACAAAGCCAUUCCAUCUUUCUGUCCCCCUCGUCUAUCCUGCUCUGUCUAAUUGAAAAAGCCAUUCUAUCUUUCUCUCACUGUCUCCUAGAGCUCUAUCUAAUUUACAAGACCAAAUAUUUUGAUUCCUGCUCUACAAGAGCCCGAGUUUUGAACAGUGUUUUACAAGAGCCGAGUUUUGAACAGUGUUUUACAAGAGCCGAGUUUUGACCAGUGCUUGAAAGAGCCCGAGUUUUGACCAGUGCUCGAAAGAGCCCGAGUUUUGACCAGUGCUCGAAAGAGCCCGAGUUUUGAACAGUGCUCGAAAGAGCCCGAGUUUUGACCAGUGCUCGAAAGAGCCCGAGUUUUGAACAGUGCUCGAAAGAGCCCGAGUUUUGAACAGUGCUCGAAAGAGCCCGAGUUUUGAACAGUGCUCGAAAGAGCCCGAGUUUUGAACAGUGCUCGAAAGAGCCCGAGUUUUGAACAGUGCUCGAAAGAGCCCGAGUUUUGAACAGUGCUCGAAAGAGCCCGAGUUUUGAACAGUGCUCGAAAGAGCCCGAGUUUUGAACAGUGCUUGAAAGAGCCCCAGAUUUCACUACUGCUUUACAAGCUCUGUGGUUACUGGUACCACUUUUCUGGAUAUAAUUUUGUGAUAUUUGGUUGGCAAGCAAAAAGUGCCAACGAUUUUCUCCUAACUGAUCUUAAGAUUUAAAUAUAUAGGAGAAAACACUGAAAUUUAAUUUGUGAAAAAGAAAAGUGUUUCAAAAAAAUUGGAAAUUAGAUUAUAGAAAUUUAUUUUGAAUAGAAAAUAAAUUUGUUUUCAUAAGAAAUUUGGCUUUUUGACUGAGAUCACAGAAAAUCCAGAUCUCCAAAUAAGUUAAUAUUUGAAUACAGUAAAUACUCAGUGAAUAUUAGCAGAUAAAUAUUUACCAUAACUGAAUAAUUGGACUGAUCAGAAACAUUUGAAAAAUUUUCUUACCUUUGAUCUUGACUACAGUUUAGUACCCAGUCUGAGGUGUUUGAUUGGACAUAUAUAUAAACUUUAUUCAGUCACUGAGUGUAUAUUCAAGUGUUUUGCUGUUUUGUGAAUAUUUAAAUAAAAAGAGAAGACAUCUGUAAGGAGGACCUGCAGUUCUUUGGAGUGGUUGUUUCCUGUGUCAGCUCAACCAGACGGAGGAGAAAGCCUGCUGCUGCCAGAAGCCCUCACCUGCCAUCCUACUGCUACACCUGUGCUGCUGAUUGAAUCUACACCUUAAAAUAUAACAGAGUUUAUCACACAUAGUUCAGUUUGUUCUUAUUAAAUCUUUAUCAGUUAUUUUCUGCUGGUGAGUGAAAGUGCUUGAGAAUCAGGACAGAGUAGCUGAUACUGAAAUACUGAUAAAUAUUCUGUUAAUAUAAGUGAAAUAUAAAGUAUUUAAUAGAGCUGCACUGCAGGCUAACAGCUUUAUACUGAAGUGCUAUAACAAGUACAGAUAAACUGUUUUUGGCAUAGUACAACA